rnacentral:lncRNA from 1 species
CAGAUGCCUAACCUCUCUGGGCCUCAGUUUCCCUACUGGUGGAGCCACACUCCUGCCAUGCUACACGGAGGAACCCUGGAAGGGAAGCCCUUUGCAAGGAAAGCUCCACAAACCUGCCAGCAGCUCCCAAGUCUUAAGUGCCUUGCCUGAGUCUGGGUGGAUGUUGGGAAUCCCAAGACCUAAACUUCCCCUGGGAGCCAAGAAGCUUAGAAUUAGAUUGGCCAUGAGAUCCCAAGGGCCGUGGCGACCCAGGCUGGGGCUCAAAGCCCUCACACUCAAAUGCUGUUCAUUUAUUCAUUCAACAAACUUGUUGAGUACCUACUGUGUCCUGGGCCCUGUUCUAAAGCCAUGUGUGUUAACAGUGAAUGACAAAUUCCAGUGUGAGAGACAGAAAGCACACAUCGGUGAUGGAGAAACAACCCACAAGCAAUCCAGUGAUGAAACUGAAACAACCACAAAGUAGAGAGGGAUGGGGCUGCCACAGGCAGGCUAGAGGAAACCAGUGCAGGACCCAGGAUGGAUGGGACCACCGCACUUUAGAAAGGCAGGCAUGAGGAGAAAGGUUGCAGGGGCCUCUGGUACUGGCUUUACUUGGUGUGUUUCCUGAGGUUGGUAGGAAAUGUCUAAGCACCCACAGUCUCCUCACUGCUCCCAGGACCUUCAAAAGAGGCUGUGGUUACUCUGGCACCAACAGAAAGGGCACUCCCCAAGCAGGUGGCAGCACCCCCCCCCAUGUGACCAGGAGCUCAGACCAGAGACCUGGGGAGAGAGUGCUCCUGGGGGAAAUCAAGGCCAGCAGGGGCUGCUGAUCCACUCUCCCGGGCACCUCUGCUGAGGCCUUGGGGGUGUCUACAUCGGGUCGGGCAGAGAAGGCAGGUCCUGGCUUCCCUCCUCGGUGCUCCUAGCCUAACACGCACCCCCAGGUGCCCAGCAUAACAGAGCAGGAACUGAGCCUGGCCCCCAGGCCCUGCCAUAGGUUUAAGCACCCCACACCCAGGCAGUGUCCCCAAG